rnacentral:rRNA from 1 species
UAAGCAUAUCAAUAAGCGGAGGAAAAGAAACCAACAGGGAUUGCCCCAGUAACGGCGAGUGAAGCGGCAAAAGCUCAAAUUUGAAAUCUGGCUCCUUAGGGGGUCCGAGUUGUAAUUUGUAGAGGAUGCUUCGGGUGCGGCCACGGCCUAAGUUCCUUGGAACAGGACGUCAUAGAGGGUGAGAAUCCCGUCUUGGGUCGUUGGUCCACGCCCGUGUGAAGCUCCUUCGACGAGUCGAGUUGUUUGGGAAUGCAGCUCUAAGCGGGUGGUAAAUUUCAUCUAAAGCUAAAUAUUGGCCGGAGACCGAUAGCGCACAAGUAGAGUGAUCGAAAGGUUAAAAGCACCUUGAAAAGGGAGUUAAACAGCACGUGAAAUUGUUGAAAGGGAAGCGCUUGCGGCCAGACUCGAGCGCGGGGCUCAUCAGGUGCGUGUCACCUGUGCACUCCCCGCCGCUCGGGCCAGCAUCAGUUCUGACGGCCGGUCAAAGGCCCCCGGAAUGUGUCGUCUCUCGGGACGUCUUAUAGCCGGGGGUGCAAUGCGGCCCGCCGGGACUGAGGAACGCGCUUCGGCUCGGAUGCUGGCAUAAUGGCCGUAAGCGGCCCGUCUUGAAACACGGACCAAGGAGUCUAACAUCCACGCGAGUGUUCGGGUGUCAAACCCGUGCGCGCAGUGAAAGCGAACGGAGGUGGGAGCCUUAGGGCGCACCAUCGACCGAUCCUGAAGUCUUCGGAUGGAUUUGAGUAGGAGCGUGGCCGUUGGGACCCGAAAGAUGGUGAACUAUGCCUGAAUAGGGUGAAGCCAGAGGAAACUCUGGUGGAGGCUCGCAGCGGUUCUGACGUGCAAAUCGAUCGUCAAAUUUGGGCAUAGGGGCGAAAGACUAAUCGAACCAUCUAGUAGCUGGUUCCUGCCGAAGUUUCCCUCAGGAUAGCAGUAACGAAAUUCCAGUUUUAUGAGGUAAAGCGAAUGAUUAGAGGCCUUGGGGUUGAAACAACCUUAACCUAUUCUCAAACUUUAAAUAUGUAAGAAGCCCUUGUUUCUUAAGUGAACGUGGGCAC